ensembl:lncRNA
AUGAGUCAGUUGCUCCUGGUUAUACAAUCACCUGCUCUGCAACUAUGUGGAAUUUCUUUCCUUUUGUAUCCCCAAAAUAUGAUUGCUUCUAGUGACCAAGACACACAUAACAGUAGCUGUCCUCCAGUAUGCUUAACUGCUGGAUCAGUUUUUCCUGAAUCCUUCACUUCCUUCACAAUAUUUGACACUCCAAAUGGGUCAAUAUUGGUCAGCCACAUUGGUGCUUUCUAGAACUCACAUUUCGUGAAACACGCUGGAGAUUUAAACAAGGCAGAAAUGAUUACCCCCAAAAGUGAACAACCCCAUUUACACGGAAGGCUGCUCCUGAUGCUCACCUUCUGAGACUGCUUGUUUGCAAGGUGAUUGAUGCAUCAGUUGCAAUGCUCCAUGUGUGUAAAUGAAUAACCCUGAAGAAAGGCCUUAACUCUUGAUAGCCUGGCUGGAUCUCUGAGAACACAGGCACCUUGCCCCAUCUUGUAUUCACUCAUAUUGUGGGAAAAUGUUAGCAUUAUCUUCAGUCCUGAAGAGGUGCAUACCUGGCUGCAGGAGCCAAUAGAGCUAAUAGAUGCAUCUUGACAUGUGGACAGACUGGGAUGUGGCAGGUUUCAGUAUGUCUGGUUGAAAACACAAGAAUUUCUUAUUUGCUGAACUUCUGCAGCUGCUACUACACCUCACCUGCCAGCGUGACUGUUUUGGAGACUCUGGUUUUGAUUUUUCUCUGCAUCUCAGUAUAGUACGCAAGCCGGCAAUGCUGCAGCUCUUAAGAUCGCUUUACAGCACAAUGGCAUAUUUUAAAGAUGACAGCAUUAUGAACUGUUCCAAAGGAGCUAUUUGCCUUUUAAGAUGACUGCUCUAGAAAGAAUUCUGUGGCUUAACAGCACUAGGAAAAGGGCAAGGGAAAUACAGAUGCUGCAGUCUGGUUAAGGAAAUGACAAGCUCCUGUGCUGCAGUACUUAAGCAUAGUCUCCAGCCGACACCAUUUAUGAGCUGUUAUAUACAGCUGCAAUCACACACAGGCUCAGUGAGGCUUUCCAUAGGGCUCACAUUUGUUUUCACAUUCACUUUGUAAAUGAGUUUGUAAUGUGGUGCAAAUGGUAGCAAAUGGACAUUAAAUGAGUCUUGUAUGUGGACUGAUCCUUUGUAAAUAUAUAGGCUAUUAUAAAAGCAAAUAAUAAGAAGUCAAACCAAACAACAGCAGCCCCAACAACAGAAACCAGUGAAAACCAUGUUGUUUUACAUAUACAGCAUUUUGAAAUGUGGGUUUUCUGUUUAAACUGUCUUCACGCCAGCCUCAACUUCUCUCUCCAUACUAAGCCUACAACAUAUUUUAUAUUGCCAUGGAUACUUUGGACAGAAGACAGUGUGCACUAGCAAUCAAUUUUUCCAUAGGAAACUAUUCCAAGAACCUGUCCCACACUGCAGUGCUCAUGUAUAGUUUUUGCUCAAUAGUAUACAAUCUUUUUCAAAAGGGUAUGACUAGCCAGUACUUCAGCUGCCCGUUUGCAAGCUUGGAAUAGGCCCAAGGCUUUACCACUCUCCAGGAUAAUUACUGCUUACUGCAUUUUGCUAUCACUUACCACUGCUAGCUGUUUACACCCUCCUAAGCAGGAUGAGAUGGAUUGCAACACGAAACCGUUUUUAGGGUAUAAAGAAGAAACGUGAGUUGACAAUCAUUUUGAAACAUCUUUAGAGGACUAAAAUCUAAUCCAAUCACAACGACAGCCAAGCAGAACUCAGCAUAGAGGAAUUACACAGAGUUUAAGGUAUUACAGGUUCAGGAGGGGAAUAAUAAGCAGCAUUCCUUAUGAGGUAAGCAUCUCAUCUAAUAAAAAGCCUUAAGUUCUCA